GUGCCCAGAGUGCCAGGAAGCUCCAGCUCAGUUGGAAUUUAAGCCAUGACGAGGGACCAGUUCAGUUGCGUGCAAAGAAAACCCUGCCGCUGAGUGCUCAGAGACUCGUCAUGGUUUUUCCUGUUGUGCUGCUUUCUGUCUCCACAGAGGCAGCUUCUCUGGAGAACAACACAACAGCUGUGCCACCAUGAUGGCAUGGCCUGGAGGCUGCCUUGCCAUCAGAACGCUGCUGGUGCCCGCCCACACCUCUUCCUGGGGUGCUACUCAACGUCCAGCCUACAGCUGAUGCCUUGUCGAUGCUUCUGAGUCCACAUGUCGUCCCCUCUCACGGCAGAGUGAACCCUGAACAGGACGAGAUGUAGGGAAGCGAGGGAGCCCGGGAAGGUACCAGCAGGCGAGUGCAAUGUGGGGCAGGCUGUGGGACAGCUUGGAGGGAACGGAGGAAGUGCGGGGAGAUCCGUGACUACUGGUGCCCACAAAGCGCCGGAGCCACAGGACUGGGACCGAGGACGGCAAGCUUGCGAGCUAACGGGGGUCUCUGGCUGGUGGCCUUCUUACCGGUCUUGACGGUCAGCAUGGUGGAGACAUCUGCCCCGCACCCCUGGUAGCUGGUCUUCACCCUGUAGAGCACUCCAGCCUCCAGCCCAGAUACUGCCAGUGCCAGGCCCCGUGUCCUGGCGCUCCUGAGCAACUCCUCACCCCGGUAAACCCGGACAUAGAAAGUGCGGUUCUGCGUAGAAUUCAAACGCCAGGAUACUUGAAAACCGCCACCGGUGACAUUGAGGAUCCUGUAGUCACUGAGUGUAGGGCAAUCUGUGAAAUCACAGAAAGAGAAGACCAGCAUAGGGUCAGCGAGGGCGGUUUUAUCUUCUGAAGCAAGUGACGCGGCCUCGUCUCAGCUCGGUUCCCACCGAUCUAUUGAUCAAGUUGAGUCAUGCAGGACAGGACUUGCUUUCUUUUUUAACCAAUUAUAAAUGAAACCCAUUCAUUCAAAACAGAGGCAUCGAUAUUCUCUCUCCCCAGGCUUCUGAGUAAUUUUGGAAGGUAGUUCAGGAUUGCACCGGGUGACGGGGAUAUCUGAGAUGAAACAGAGAGGCGAGAGGUCUGAAGCUGAAAGCGCAGCCCCUCUAUCACUGAGCCACGUCAGAGGGUGGGGGUCAUCCAAGUGGGCCUCGGUCCACACCGGGAAUAGCAUUGAGUCGUGGCGCUCUUGAGGUCCAGAAUCUGUGAUUUCUGCAAAGUCAGAACGCUAUCUCUCUCGGGACCCGCCAGCAGCCAUUGUAUGGAAAACAUCUGCAGCAAUGGCCCUGACAGUGUCAGGUUUCAGUGCCUCGUCUGCAAAUACCCACUUGGCAGCCUGUCCCAGGGCCCCGGGCCACUCUGAUUCACGACAAGCAAGCACUUGAUCAUUUGCACAAGAACUUCUGCACUGGGAUGACUCUGGGAUCACGCAGUAAACAGUGGCCCCGUCAGGAAGCAGGACUCCGAAAUCAGGCCGUUUCCUUUACCGUCCUUUUCAUGCUUUCCUAUUGAAAUCCGUGCCUUAGGGAGCAACGCUCUGAUGGACCAACCUAUAUAUAUUCUAGUGCUCAAACAGCACUGAAGCUCUUUUUUGGUUGAAAAAAUUCUGGCUGUACAGCAAGUAUCUGGGCAGUAAGGAUUAUAUAAAAACUCGAUGGCCCCCAGGCUAGCCACCAAUAUUUUCACAUCGGAAGGCAGGACACAGCCCGAAGCAUUUUGUAUCCACUUCGGUGGAGGAUGGGGUGACAGCGAAACGCCCUGCAGAUAGGAAAGUGGGUCAACGCGAGCGGGCCCAGCAGCUUGAACAGCAGCCCCCAGCCCACACCCAGGGCUCCAGCCCUGCCUCCUCGCUGCCGUCAUCUCAAACUUGACAUGGAACGAGAGAGCACAUGGCUGGGACAACAGAUGGCCCACCCAGAUUACCGGCCACUUAAAAGCACAUUCUAUGAGGAGUGCUUCCAAGCAGAGUGCAGUUAAAAUUGAAAUGGUGUCUGUAUGAAUUUGAAAAGAACACAGCGGAAUGGUGUUUAGAAAGAAGGCUCGGAGCGCGCGCGGCUGGCAAGGCAUACUUUACCUCUUUUAAUAAACAUAUUCACUCUUUCA